rnacentral:rRNA from 1 species
CCUACGGGAGGCAGCAGUAGGGAAUAUUUCACAAUGGGCGAAAGCCUGAUGGAGCAACGCCGCGUGCAGGAUGAAGGCCUUCGGGUUGUAAACUGCUUUUAUAAGCGAGAAAUAUGAUGGUAACUUAUGAAUAAGGAUCGGCUAACUACGUGCCAGCAGCCGAGGUCAUACGUAGGAGCCGAGCAUUAUCCGGAGUGACUGGGUGUAAAGAGUUGCGUAGGUGGCAUAAUAAGUAGCUAGUGAAAUCUGGUGGCUCAACCAUUCAGACUAUUAGCUAAACUGUUAAGCUCGAGAGCGUUAGGAGUAACUGGAAUGUGUGGUGUAGGAGUGAAAUGCGUAGAUAUUAGAAGGAACACCGAUAGCGUAGGCAGGUUGCUGGGACGGUUCUGACACUGAGGCACGAAAGCGUGGGGAGCAAACGGGAUUAGAUACCCCUGUAGUC